GGUUUGUUAUUGUAGCACUUUUUACA
rnacentral:piRNA from 1 species